UUGAUCCUGGCUCAGAAUCAACGCUGGCGGCGUGCCUAACACAUGCAAGUCGAACGCGAAAAUCCCGCAAGGGAUCAGUAGAGUGGCAAACGGGUGAGUUACACGUGGGUGACCUGCCUUCGAGCGGGGGAUAACGUCCCGAAAGGGACUCUAAUACCGCAUGACAUCCUGCCUUUGAAGAGGUGGAGAUCAAAGCUGGUGAUCGCAAGACCUAGCACUCGAAGAGGGGCCCGCGCCUGAUUAGCUAGUUGGUGGGGUAACGGCUCACCAAGGCAACGAUCAGUAUCCGGCCUGAGAGGUCGGACGGACACACUGGGACUGAGACACGGCCCAGACUCCUACGGGAGGCUGCAGUGGGGAAUUGUUCGCAAUGGGCGCAAGCCCGACGACGCAACGCCGUGUGGAGGAUGAAGACCUUCGGGUCGUAAACUCCUUUCGAUCGAGACGAAUGGUCUCCGGGUGAACAAUCCGGAGAAGUGACGGUACCGAGAGAAGAAGCUCCGGCUAACUCCGUGCCAGCAGCCGCGGUAAUAAGGU
rnacentral:rRNA from 1 species